rnacentral:rRNA from 1 species
UACGUAGGUGGCAAGCGUUGUUCGGAAUUACUGGGCGUAAAGGGCUCGUAGGCGGCCAACUAAGUCAGACGUGAAAUCCCCAGGCUCAACCUGGGAACUGCGUCUGAUACUGGAUGGCUUGAAUCCGGGAGAGGGAUGCAGAAUUCCAGGUGUAGCGGUGAAAUGCGUAGAUAUCCGGAGGAACACCGGUGGCGAAGGCGGCUUCCUGGACCGACACUGACGCUGAGGCGCGAAAGCUAGGGGAGCAAACGGG